AAUGAGGUGCCUGAUUAUAAAAGGGUUAUUGUGAUAGAAUAAAUAAUGCAAAAAUAUUGCCCUCAUUA
rnacentral:tRNA from 1 species